rnacentral:rRNA from 1 species
CUGCUGCCUUCCGUAGGAGUCUGGGCCGUGUCUCAGUCCCAGUGUGGCCGUCCACCCUCUCAGGCCGGCUGCUGAUCGUCGCUUUGGUGGGCCGUUACCCCGCCAACUGGCUAAUCAGACGCGGGCCCAUCCUGUACCACCGGAGUUUUCAAAGGAUUACCAUGCGGUAUUCCCUAUUAUGCGGUAUUAGCACCUAUUUCUAAGUGUUAUCCCCCGGUACAGGGCAGGUUGCCCACGCGUUACUCACCCGUCCGCCACUAAGACAG